rnacentral:rRNA from 1 species
AUUGAACGCUGGCGGCAUGCCUUACACAUGCAAGUCGAACGGCAGCAUGGAGAGCUUGCUCUCUGAUGGCGAGUGGCGAACGGGUGAGUAAAGCAUCGGAACGUACCGUGUAGUGGGGGAUAACGUAGCGAAAGUUACGCUAAUACCGCAUACGCACUGAGGUGGAAAGCAGGGGAUCGCAAGACCUUGCGCUAUACGAGCGGCCGAUGUCAGAUUAGCUAGUUGGUAGGGUAAAGGCCUACCAAGGCGACGAUCUGUAGCGGGUCUGAGAGGGUGAGCCGCCACACUGGGACUGAGACACGGCCCAGACUCCGACGGGAGGCAGCAGUGGGGAAUUUUGGACAAUGGAGGCAACCCUGAUCCAGCAAUGCCGCGUGAGUGAAGAAGGCCUUCGGGUUGUAAAGCUCUUUUGUCAGGGAAGAAACACCGGCUCUAACACAGUCCGGGAAUGACGGUACCUGAAGAAUAAGCACCGGCUAACUACGUGCCAGCCGCCGCGGUAA